UACGGAGGGUGCGAGCGUUGUCCGGAAUCCGUUGGCGUAAAGGGGCGCGUAGGUGGCGGGACGAAGUCGUGCGGUGAAAGCCUGGGGCUCAACCCCGGGUCGGCCGUGCGAACUGUUUUGCUUGAGCACUGUAGAGGCAGGCGGGAAUUCCGGGUGUAGCGGUGGAAUGCGUAGAGAUCCGGAAGAACACCGGGUGGGCGAAGGCGGC
rnacentral:rRNA from 1 species